GACGAACGCUGGCGGCGUGCUUAACACAUGCAAGUCGAACGGAAAGGCCCUGCUUUUGUGGGGUGCUCGAGUGGCGAACGGGUGAGUAACACGUGAGUAACCUGCCCUUGACUUUGGGAUAACUUCAGGAAACUGGGGCUAAUACCGGAUAGGAGCUCCUGCAGCAUGGUGGGGGUUGGAAAGUUUCGGCGGUUGGGGAUGGACUCGCGGCUUAUCAGCUUGUUGGUGGGGUAGUGGCUUACCAAGGCUUUGACGGGUAGCCGGCCUGAGAGGGUGACCGGGCACAUUGGGACUGAGAUACGGCCCAGACUCCUACGGGAGGCAGCAGUGGGGAAUAUUGCAGAAUGGGCGGAAGCCUGAUGCAGCAACGCCGCGUGCGGGAUGACGGCCUUCGGGUUGUAAACCGCUUUCGCCUGUGACGAAGCGUGAGUGACGGUAAUGGGUAAAGAAGCACCGGCUAACUACGUG
rnacentral:rRNA from 1 species